ACACGACUACAUUAGAUACCCCCGUAGUCCCAGCCCUAAACGAUGCGCGUUAGGUGUAUCGGUGACCACGAGUCACCGAGGUGCCGAAGGGAAACCGUGAAACGUGCCGCCUGGGAAGUACGGUCGCAAGGCUGAAACUUAAAGGAAUUGGCGGGGGAGCACCACAACGGGUGGGCCUGCGGUUUAAUUGGACUCAACGCCGGGAAGCUCACCGGAUAAGACAGCGGAAUGAUUGCCGGGCUGAAGACCCUGCAUGACCAGCUG
rnacentral:rRNA from 1 species